rnacentral:rRNA from 1 species
GACCAGACUCCUACGGGAGGCAGCAGUGGGGGAUAUUGCACAAUGGGGGAAACCCUGAUGCAGCGACGCCGCGUGAGUGAAGAAGUAAUCCGUUACGUAAAGCUCUAUCAGCAGGGAAGAAAAUGACGGUACCUGACUAAGAAGCCCCGGCUAACUACGUGCCAGCAGCCGCGGUAAUACGUAGGGGGCGAGCGUUAUCCGGAUUCACUGGGUGUAAAGGGAGCGUAGACGGCCCAGCAAGCCAGGGGUGAAAGCCCGGGGCCCAACCCCGGGACUGCCCUUGGAACUGCUUGGCUGGAGUGCGGGAGGGGCAGGCGGAAUUCCUGGUGUAGCGGUGAAAUGCGUAGAUAUCAGGAGGAACACCGGCGGCGAAGGCGGCCUGCUGGACCGCUACUGACGUUGAGGCUCGAAAGCGUGGGGAGCGAACAGGAUUAGAUACCCCAGUAA